rnacentral:tRNA from 1 species
AUUCAAAUAGUUUAAAUAAAAUAUUGAUUUGUGGAAUCAAAGAUAUAAAUAUGGAUAUUUUGGAUA